rnacentral:tRNA from 17 species
UCCUCGAUAGCUCAGUCGGUAGAGCAAUCGGCUGUUAACCGAUCGGUCGUAGGUUCGAGUCCUACUCGGGGAGCCA